rnacentral:rRNA from 1 species
CUUUAUGGCCAAACUUCCCUGCCAAAGCCUGGUCUAGUCAAACCUCUUUAGCUAAGCAGGGCUAGGCCUGGUCAGCACUUGGAUGUGAGACUGCUAGGAAUACCAGGUGCCAGAAUGG